AGAGUUUGAUUCUGGCUCAGAGUGAACGCUGGCGGCGUGGCUAAGACAUGCAAGUCGAGCGGGAAAAAGAAUGUAGCAAUACGUGAUUUUGAGAGCGGCAAACGGGUGAGUAACACAUAAACAAUCUGCCUUAAAGUUUGGGAUAGCUCGGGGAAACUCGAAUUAAUACCGGAUGUGGUUGACAGUUGCAUGACUGUAGGACUAAAGCUUGAGAUGGCGCUUUAAGAGGAGUUUAUGGCCUAUCAGCUAGUUGGCGGGAUAACAGCCCACCAAGGCAAAGACGGGUAGCGGGUCUGAGAGGACGAUCCGCCACAUUGGAACUGAGACACGGUCCAAACACCUACGGGUGGCAGCAGUUUCGAAUCAUUCACAAUGGGGGAAACCCUGAUGGUGCGACGUCGCGUGAGGGAUGAAGGUCUUCGGAUUGUAAACCUCUGUCACAUGGGACUAAAGGCAAGGUUCAUAGCCUUGAUUGAAUUAACCAUGAGAGGAAGCAGUGGCUAACUCCGUGCCAGCAGCCGCGGUAAUACGGAGACUGCGAGCGUUACUCGGAUUCACUGGGCGUAAAGGGAGCGCAGGCGGAGGUGUGUGUUAGGUGUGAAAUCCCGAGGCUUAACUUCGGAAUUGCGCCUAAAACUAUAUCUCUAGAGACUUGGAGGGGUAAGCGGAAUUUGUGGAGUAGCGGUAAAAUGCGCAGAUAUCACAAGGAACACCGAUGGCGAAGGCAGCUUACUGGACAAGAUCUGACGCUCAGGCUCGAAAGUGUGGGUAGCAAAAGGGAUUAGAUACCCCUGUAGUCCACACCCUAAACGUUGUACACUAGGUCUGGGAGGAAUCAUCCCCUUCGGGGCCCAAGCUAACGCGAUAAGUGUACCGCCU
rnacentral:rRNA from 1 species